CAGAUUAUAGACUACAGAGGUGGAGAAACGCCCCCGCUUAAGUUUGUUUUCUUAGGAGUUAGAACAACUCUGAAUAUAGUACUAUGUCUGUGACCCUAUAUGUCCUGUUGAUGAAGUUAGGUGCUGUUCUGAGCAUUAUUUGUGGCUAUAGAGUGGCGUUUUGGUUGAGGGCGUGGCUCUCUGUAUUUCUAUCCUGCGGUCGUUACUAAAGUUGGUAUAACUAGAGAAGGAAGCGGUCGACAACAUUCAUCUCUGGAGGGGGGGUCUAACUCGGUGUUACGGUGGGUUUGACCCUAAAUUAAUUUUACAGCAGAAUAUCCCUUUAACCUGU